CGUCUUCCUUUUCUCUGAGACCUGUCUCUGGUUUCUCUUUCUGCCCUCAUGGCUCUCUCACGGCUCCUUGUCUGUCUGUCUGUCUGUCUGUCUGUCUGUCUACAUGUCCACUUGUCUACAUCUAUCCCUUCCCCAGGUCCUUGCUCCUCUCCCUUCUCCCAAUAAAUCUCUUUCAAACCAGAUCUGUUGCAUGGCAUAACUUCUCAGGGCUGUACCUUGGCAUGGACCCCUUGCUGCAUUAUAUUUCAGAACAUUGGAGUCAUGACCUCAGAGGGACUCUCCUGGUGUUUAACCACGUUGGGAUCCCACCUGUCUGAUACAUCGUGGGAAGAUCUGCUUUCUGCUUCACCAGUCAUUGGGCAUUCCAUCCAACCCUGACAAUUGAUGAAUGUAGAUCAACCCCAUCAGAAAAAUUUCUCUUUGUAGCAGAAAACCAUUACAGAAAACUGGAAUUGGUUGAAAUGCAGAAAGUGAAUGAUCAUGGGUGCCCAGCCCCAGUGGACAUGUCUACACCACAGC
rnacentral:lncRNA from 1 species